rnacentral:rRNA from 1 species
CCUACGGGUGGCAGCAGUGGGGAAUAUUGGACAAUGGGGGGAACCCUGAUCCAGCGACGCCGCGUGAGUGAAGAAGGCUUUCGGUAUGUAAAGCUCUAUCAGCAGGGAAGAAAAUGACGGUACCUGACUAAGAAGCCCCGGCUCACUACGGGCCAGCAGCCGCGGUAAUACGUAGGGGGCAAGCGUUAGCCGGAUUUACGGGGGGUAAAGGGGGCGUAGACGGGGCAGCAAGUCUGAUGUGAAAGGUCGGGGCCCAACCCCGGGACUGCAUUGGAAACUGUUGAACUGGAGUACAGGAGAGGUAAGCGGAAUUCCUAGUGUAGCGGUGAAAUGCGUAGAUAUUAGGAGGAACACCAGUGGCGAAGGCGGAUUGCUAGACUGUAACUGACACUGAGGCACGAAAGCGUGGGGAGCAAACAGGAUUAGAUACCCGUGUAGUC